AUCAAUACAUUUUUCUACAAAAAAGAGACUGUAGUCGUUGGAAUUGCUUAAGUCGUUAGAAUUGAAUCUGAGCUAGAAGAUACUCGAGUUGUAUAGAACUGCCUCUGGUAGACUUAUGCUGAUUCUACACCACACAUACCCGCAAUUGAAUUACUGUUUAUGAAGUAUGCGGCUAUGCAGCGUCCGGCGAAACAUCAGAAAAUGCAGUCCAACCUUGUUUGUAUUAAUUCCAUUGCUUUUCUGGCUUUCAUUUGAAAUUCAACAUCCACGGCCGGUUGUGAAAAUCUCAGCCCCCUUCCACAACCACCGACCUUUGCAAUACGUUCAUACGGAAUUGUCUUUGAAAGGUCGUCCAAGAAAAGGAUGUCCAAUUUUUCUGAAUGCUACUCACAUCAUAAGAUUUUCAGGUGUAGAAGAGGUGAAGGAAGACGGUGUUUUAUGUGAAUGCAAACCCCCUUUAAACACUACAGAUGUACGAAAGAAAAAACUGAAGUUUAUGGUUUCUUUUUAUCCUUUGGAAUUAAAUUUCGAUGAGCUCAUAAAAGUGCGACUUGAGGGAAGAAAGAUAAUAAACGAACCCAUCAAUUCACACGACUUCAGUUAUAUCCAUACCGGAGAGAACGUCUGUGACGACCACUCCAUAUACCUUCUUCUGGUCAUCAAAUCUAGUGUAGGAAAUUUCAGGAACCGGGAGACCAUCAGGAAAACUUGGGGUAAUGUGGACAACUAUGAAGGAGUUCGGAAAGUGUUCCUUCUAGGUUACAACCACGGUGUUCAGAAACAAGUAGACAUUGAAGCUUUGGAGCAUGGGGACAUAGUACAAGAAGAUUUUUGGGACCAUUAUUCCAACAUCACCUUUAAAACGAUUAUGGGCAUAAACUGGGUUGUGCAGUACUGUCCCAAAGCCAAGUUUAGCUUUUACGUAGACGAUGACGUGUUCUUGAUUUUAAACAAUCUUAAAAAAUUAAGGAAAUCGACGUUCAGGGAAUCUGGAUUAAUGCUUGGGAAGGUUCUCUCUUCCUCCACACCGUAUAGAGACAACACGUCCAAAUGGUUCGUGUCGUGGGAGGAUUACCCCUUUGACAAAUACCCCAAAUAUCUGGCAGGUUUUGCAUAUCUUAUGACUGCUGAUGUUGUGAAGAGAUUUUCCUUGGCCAUUCCCUAUAUUCAACCUAUACCGAUUGACGACACCUAUUUAGGAAUUGUCGCCGAGAAGCUGAAAAUUCCGCUCAAGAACCAGUACGGGUUUGUAAUGCGGAAACCCGGCCCGGUGUCAUACUCAGCUCCCAAACUAAAUUUUCUGAAUACGAUAGCAUUUCAUAGAAUAUCGUCCCCAGAAUCAAUGAUGCAGACUUGGAUGGAAUAUUGUAGACAACCUAAAGCUGCAUGUCAAUAUUAGCCAAAGACGAAUAAAGUUCACUAUAGAAAUUCAAACCAAUACAAGGUCUAUUCCAUCGGUGGAGAAAACAUUCGCACGGUGGAUACGUAUGUUUAAUUGACUGCUUCAUAUCGAUGCAACUUCAUUUCAUUGAUUGAAAGAUAUUAUGAAUAUCGCUUUUAAUAUUUGCAUGUUCCCAUAUUCAUCUGUUAUGUGUGUCUGGGAUGACGUCUUUUACCGCUUUAAACAGCACUUUAAUCAUCAGUAAUGUGUUACUUUACGGCGUAUUUUGUUUAACUUCACCGUUGAUGGCAAUUUCCAAUAUAUGCAUAAUCGUAUAAAACAAACAUUAAAAUUGAUAUCACUU
rnacentral:misc_RNA from 1 species